rnacentral:rRNA from 1 species
CACGGAUGGGCAUGCGGCGCAUUAGCUAGUUGGCGGGGCAACGGCCCACCAAGGCGACGAUGUCUAGGGGUUCUGAGAGGAAGGUCCCCCACACUGGUACUGAGACACGGACCAGACUCCUACGGGAGGCAGCAGUGAGGAAUAUUGGUCAAUGGGCGCGAGCCUGAACCAGCCAAGUCGCGUGAGGGAUGACGGCCCUACGGGUUGUAAACCUCUUUUGUCGGGGAGCAAAUUCCGCCACGUGUGGCGGAGUCGAGAGUACCCGAAGAAAAAGCAUCGGCUAACUCCGUGCCAGCAGCCGCGGUAAUACGGAGGAUGCGAGCGUUAUCCGGAUUUAUUGGGUUUAAAGGGUGCGUAGGCGGACUGUCAAGUCAGCGGUAAAAUACGGGGGCUCAACCUCCGCCCGCCGUUGAAACUGACGGUCUUGAGUGGGCGAGAAGUAUGCGGAAUGCGUGGUGUAGCGGUGAAAUGCAUAGAUAUCACGCAGAACUCCGAUUGCGAAGGCAGCAUACCGGCGCCCAACUGACGCUGAAGCACGAAAGCGUGGGUAUCGAACAGAAUUAGAUACCCUGGUAGUCCACGCAGUAAACGAUGAAUACUAGCUGUCCGGGGGGGAAGAAGCCCUGGGUGGCACAGCGAAAGCGUUAAGUAUUCCACCUGGGGAGUACGCCGGCAACGGUGAAACUCAAAGGAAUUGACGGGGGCCCGCACAAGCGGAGGAACAUGUGGUUUAAUUCGAUGAUACGCGAGGAACCUUACCCGGGCUCAAACGACACAGGAACGGUCCUGAAAGGGGUCGGCUCUACGGAGCCUGUGUCGAGGUGCUGCAUGGUUGUCGUCAGCUCGUGCCGUGAGGUGUCGGCUUAAGUGCCAUAACGAGCGCAACCCCCAUCGACAGUUGCUAACAGGUCAAGUUGAGGACUCUGUCGAGACUGCCGGCGCAAGCUGCGAGGAAGGCGGGGAUGACGUCAAAUCAGCACGGCCCUUACGUCCGGGGCGACACACGUGUUACAAUGGCAGGUACAGCGGGAAGCCACCUGGCGACAGGGAGCGGAACCCGAAAGCCUGUCUCAGUUCGGAUUGGAGUCUGCAACCCGACUCCAUGAAGCUGGAUUCGCUAGUAAUCGCGCAUCAGCCACGGCGCGGUGAAUACGUUCCCGGGCCUUGCACUCACCGCCCGUCAAG